AACGAACGCUGGCGGCGUGCUUAACACAUGCAAGUCGAACGCGAAAGGGACUUCGGUCCUGAGUAAAGUGGCGCACGGGUGAGUAACGCGUAGAUAACCUGUCUUCAUGUCUGGAAUAAUACGCCGAAAGGGGUACUAAUACCGGAUAUUCUUGCUUUUCAUAAGUUAUGCAAGCAAAGGUGGCCUCUGCAUAUGCUACUGCAUGAAGAGGGGUCUGCGUACCAUUAGCUAGUAGGUGGGGUAAUGGCCUACCUAGGCGACGAUGGUUAGCGGGUCUGAGAGGAUGAUCCGCCACACUGGCACUGGAACACGGGCCAGACUCCUACGGGAGGCAGCAGUGAGGAAUAUUGCGCAAUGGGGGAAACCCUGACGCAGCGACGCCGCGUGAGUGAGGAAGGCCUUCGGGUCGUAAAGCUCUGUCAAGAGGAAAGAAGUGUACAAUGGCUAAUACCUGUUGUAUUUGACGGUACCUCUAAAGGAAGCCCCCCACCGGCUAACUCCGUGCCAGCCGCGGC
rnacentral:rRNA from 1 species